GACGUAGGGCGCGAGCGUUGUCCGGAUUUAUUGGGCGUAAAGAGCUCGUAGGCGGCUUGUCGCGUCGGCUGUGAAAACCCGCGGCUCAACUGUGGGCGGGCAGCUGAUACGGGCAGGCUGGAGUUCGGUAGGGGGAGACUGGAAUUCCUGGUGUAGCGGUGAAAUGCGCAGAUAUCAGGAGGGAACACCCGGUGGCGAAGGCGGGGUCUCUGGGCCACUACUGACGUGAG
rnacentral:rRNA from 1 species